AGUCAGAUUUCUUUCGCACCCCAUUUGUUCGACUUCAUCAGUCUUCUACCCAAUUGUCCCCCUCCUUUAAACAGAUGUAACCCAAUUUUCAAAGUUCUGCGGGUUGUGUAUGCCAUGUGUGGAUCAGUGCAGAGAGAGAAGACGCACGCCGGCUGGCUUGACUCUCCUCCCUCAGGUGUUCACUCAUCGGGCAAUUAGGCCGUCACACAUCAACAAGAAGACAUUCCUGACUUAUCUUGAGAGAUCUUUAGUGUUUUUCUUUUGUUUUUGUUUUUUGUCUUUUGAGGAUGGAAUUCUGCUAGUCCUGUUUUCCCAGUUUUUGAUGUUAGUUUAGUUCAUGAGGACUAUUUUAGUUUAAGGAGGGAAAAUUCUCGGUGCUACAGCCGACAGUGUGACUUUCCCAGACUUCGCCCGCCCCCCCAUCCCUUUUGUUCCUUCUGGCCCAGCCUCCACACACACUCAUAGAUUUGGUAUCAUCUGUAAAUAAAGAUAAUUCCCUUUUGCAAACUUG